rnacentral:rRNA from 1 species
GACGAACGCUGGCGGCGUGCUUAACACAUGCAAGUCGAGCGAUGAAGCACCUUCGGGUGUGAAUUAGCGGCGAACGGGUGAGGAACACGUGGGAAAUAUGCCUUCAACUCGGGGAUAACUCCGGGAAACCGGGGCUAAUACCGGAAAUGAGCCUUGAUCGCAUGAUCGGGGCUGGAAAGUUUUUCGGUUGAAGAUGAUCUCGCGGCCUAUCAGCUUGUUGGUGAGGUAAUGGCUCACCAAGGCGACGACGGGUAGCCGGCCCGAGAGGGCGACCGGCCACACUGGGACUGCGACACGGCCCAGACUCCUACGGGAGGCAGCAGUGGGGAAUAUUGUGCAAUGGAGGAAACUCUGACCCAGCGACGCCGCGUGAGGGAUGAAGGCCUUCGGGUUGUAAACCUCUUUCAGUAGGGAAGAAGCGAAAGUGACGGUACCUACAGAAGAAGCACCGGCUAACUACGUGCCAGCAGCCGCGGUAA